rnacentral:rRNA from 1 species
GGUUAAGCGACUAAGCGUACACGGUGGAUGCCCUGGCAGUCAGAGGCGAUGAAGGACGUGCUAAUCUGCGAUAAGCGUCGGUAAGGUGAUAUGAACCGUUAUAACCGGCGAUUUCCGAAUGGGGAAACCCAGUGUGUUUCGACACACUAUCAUUAACUGAAUCCAUAGGUUAAUGAGGCGAACCGGGGGAACUGAAACAUCUAAGUACCCCGAGGAAAAGAAAUCAACCGAGAUUCCCCCAGUAGCGGCGAGCGAACGGGGAGGAGCCCAGAGCCUGAAUCAGUGUGUGUGUUAGUGGAAGCGUCUGGAAAGGCGCGCGAUACAGGGUGACAGCCCCGUACACAAAAAUGCACAUGCUGUGAGCUCGAUGAGUAGGGCGGGACACGUGGUAUCCUGUCUGAAUAUGGGGGGACCAUCCUCCAAGGCUAAAUACUCCUGACUGACCGAUAGUGAACCAGUACCGUGAGGGAAAGGCGAAAAGAACCCCGGCGAGGGGAGUGAAAAAGAACCUGAAACCGUGUACGUACAAGCAGUGGGAGCACGCUUAGGCGUGUGACUGCGUACCUUUUGUAUAAUGGGUCAGCGACUUAUAUUCUGUAGCAAGGUUAACCGAAUAGGGGAGCCGAAGGGAAACCGAGUCUUAACUGGGCGUUAAGUUGCAGGGUAUAGACCCGAAACCCGGUGAUCUAGCCAUGGGCAGGUUGAAGGUUGGGUAACACUAACUGGAGGACCGAACCGACUAAUGUUGAAAAAUUAGCGGAUGACUUGUGGCUGGGGGUGAAAGGCCAAUCAAACCGGGAGAUAGCUGGUUCUCCCCGAAAGCUAUUUAGGUAGCGCCUCGUGAAUUCAUCUCCGGGGGUAGAGCACUGUUUCGGCAAGGGGGUCAUCCCGACUUACCAACCCGAUGCAAACUGCGAAUACCGGAGAAUGUUAUCACGGGAGACACACGGCGGGUGCUAACGUCCGUCGUGAAGAGGGAAACAACCCAGACCGCCAGCUAAGGUCCCAAAGUCAUGGUUAAGUGGGAAACGAUGUGGGAAGGCCCAGACAGCCAGGAUGUUGGCUUAGAAGCAGCCAUCAUUUAAAGAAAGCGUAAUAGCUCACUGGUCGAGUCGGCCUGCGCGGAAGAUGUAACGGGGCUAAACCAUGCACCGAAGCUGCGGCAGCGACACUAUGUGUUGUUGGGUAGGGGAGCGUUCUGUAAGCCUGUGAAGGUGUGCUGUGAGGCAUGCUGGAGGUAUCAGAAGUGCGAAUGCUGACAUAAGUAACGAUAAAGCGGGUGAAAAGCCCGCUCGCCGGAAGACCAAGGGUUCCUGUCCAACGUUAAUCGGGGCAGGGUGAGUCGACCCCUAAGGCGAGGCCGAAAGGCGUAGUCGAUGGGAAACAGGUUAAUAUUCCUGUACUUGGUGUUACUGCGAAGGGGGGACGGAGAAGGCUAUGUUGGCCGGGCGACGGUUGUCCCGGUUUAAGCGUGUAGGCUGAUUUUCCAGGCAAAUCCGGAAAAUCAAGGCUGAGGCGUGAUGACGAGGCACUACGGUGCUGAAGCAACAAAUGCCCUGCUUCCAGGAAAAGCCUCUAAGCAUCAGGUAACAUCAAAUCGUACCCCAAACCGACACAGGUGGUCAGGUAGAGAAUACCAAGGCGCUUGAGAGAACUCGGGUGAAGGAACUAGGCAAAAUGGUGCCGUAACUUCGGGAGAAGGCACGCUGAUAUGUAGGUGAGGUCCCUCGCGGAUGGAGCUGAAAUCAGUCGAAGAUACCAGCUGGCUGCAACUGUUUAUUAAAAACACAGCACUGUGCAAACACGAAAGUGGACGUAUACGGUGUGACGCCUGCCCGGUGCCGGAAGGUUAAUUGAUGGGGUUAGCGNNAGCGAAGCUCUUGAUCGAAGCCCCGGUAAACGGCGGCCGUAACUAUAACGGUCCUAAGGUAGCGAAAUUCCUUGUCGGGUAAGUUCCGACCUGCACGAAUGGCGUAAUGAUGGCCAGGCUGUCUCCACCCGAGACUCAGUGAAAUUGAACUCGCUGUGAAGAUGCAGUGUACCCGCGGCAAGACGGAAAGACCCCGUGAACCUUUACUAUAGCUUGACACUGAACAUUGAGCCUUGAUGUGUAGGAUAGGUGGGAGNNNNNNNNNNNUGGACGCCAGUCUGCAUGGAGCCGACCUUGAAAUACCACCCUUUAAUGUUUGAUGUUCUAACGUUGACCCGUAAUCCGGGUUGCGGACAGUGUCUGGUGGGUAGUUUGACUGGGGCGGUCUCCUCCUAAAGAGUAACGGAGGAGCACGAAGGUUGGCUAAUCCUGGUCGGACAUCAGGAGGUUAGUGCAAUGGCAUAAGCCAGCUUGACUGCGAGCGUGACGGCGCGAGCAGGUGCGAAAGCAGGUCAUAGUGAUCCGGUGGUUCUGAAUGGAAGGGCCAUCGCUCAACGGAUAAAAGGUACUCCGGGGAUAACAGGCUGAUACCGCCCAAGAGUUCAUAUCGACGGCGGUGUUUGGCACCUCGAUGUCGGCUCAUCACAUCCUGGGGCUGAAGUAGGUCCCAAGGGUAUGGCUGUUCGCCAUUUAAAGUGGUACGCGAGCUGGGUUUAGAACGUCGUGAGACAGUUCGGUCCCUAUCUGCCGUGGGCGCUGGAGAACUGAGGGGGGCUGCUCCUAGUACGAGAGGACCGGAGUGGACGCAUCACUGGUGUUCGGGUUGUCAUGCCAAUGGCACUGCCCGGUAGCUAAAUGCGGAAGAGAUAAGUGCUGAAAGCAUCUAAGCACGAAACUUGCCCCGAGAUGAGUUCUCCCNNNNNNNNNNNNNGUCCUGAAGGAACGUUGAAGACGACGACGUUGAUAGGCCGGGUGUGUAAGCGCAGCGAUGCGUUGAGCUAACCGGUACUAAUGAACCGUGAGGCUUAACCUU